rnacentral:rRNA from 1 species
UACGUAGGGUGCAAGCGUUGUCCGGAAUUAUUGGGCGUAAGAGCUCGUAGGCGGUUUGUCGCGUCUGCUGUGAAAACUCGGGGCUUAACCCCGGGCCUGCAGUGGGUACGGGCAGACUAGAGUGCGGUAGGGGAGACUGGAAUUCCUGGUGUAGCGGUGGAAUGCGCAGAUAUCAGGAGGAACACCGGUGGCGAAGGCGGGUCUCUGGGCAGUAACUGACGCUGAGGAGCGAAAGCGUGGGGAGCGAACAGG